ACCUAAUGAUGUGGGCAUUUAUGAAGUAGGUCCUUGAAACGCUUCCAGGCCUUAAAGAAAAGUUUCCCAUUCGUUUGCGUGAAACUUGCGAUUACCUUUCGCAGCU